GAGAUGAGUUCUCCCUGAGACUUUAAGUCUCCUGAAGGAACGUUGAAGACGACGACGUUGAUAGGCCGGGUGUGUAAGCGCAGCGAUGCGUUGAGCUAACCGGUACUAAUGAACCGUGAGGCUUAACCUU
rnacentral:rRNA from 1 species